GCCAUGACAUCUCCCUUAGCACAUAUUGUGUUCUCUUUCUUUUAGCCCAUGGAAGGCUACAACAACCUCAGCUGACAAAGGACAGAGAGAAAAUGUAUUACAGAAUAAAGUGACAAUGCAGCAAAUAGAACUCACAUGUGAGAGGAAGGACAUACUGCAGCAGGAAGGCAACAGCUCUGUGUGAAGCCUGAGAGGAUGCUGGACUCUUCAGAUUCUGGAUCCCAGAGCAGUCUAACGGAGAGAUGUGGGAGCAGUGUCAGAGGCACAGAUACACAGGCAUCCUGCAAGACCAAGAAAGAGAUGCCGGGCAGCCCUGAGCAGCAGACAGCUGAGGGAAGCCAGGCUAGGGCUUCCUGUAGCUCCCGAGUUAAACUGUAUUUUCAGGAUUGCUGCCUUCUGCCGCAGUGAAAUUCUGAGAAAGUCAAGCUGCAGCCAUGAAAUACUUCAUGUCAUCAGGAAGAUGUCUUCUAUCAGAAUAUCUGAGAAGAGUAAUGCUCAGCAUGUUCAAAUCAUCCUUUUAUUUGACCGUUCAGACAUAACUAUAAAAGACUUAUACUCAGCACUUCCAUCUCAUAUAGCAUCACAUUGGCAUGGUAACAACAGUAAACAGAGUAAUGAUCCUCCUCCUGUGAUCACAGAGCUCUGCCAAAGCCAACGAUUUGAAAUGACCAUAUGCAUUCCAAAUCAGCAGGUUUUUAAAAGACAUAAUAGCAACUAGUGCAGGAUGUCAAAACAUGCUUAGCUACCCUGGCGCAUUCACAAAAAGAGCACAAGCACUUUGUAAUCGAUUUGAGACCACA